UUUGGGGAAUAUUCAUUCGGUCCCCAGGCCUCGACUGGGAAGCAUCAAAAUUUUCAGUGUUCUGUUUUCUGUUCUGUUUAGUGAAAAAAAUUGAAUCAAACUAAUUUUAAAAAAGUGAAAAAUAAUUUCCGGACUAUUGAAAAAAAAAAUAAUCAAACAAAAAUAAACAAAAUUACACUAAAAAUGAUUCUCAAAAUAAGAUACAGGAUCCGCUGAUCCGUGUUUCUGUACAGGCCUGUUCCACAGAUGGAUGAAAGGAGAGGAUGAUACCUCCAGGCACCCACACUCACACCACCACUCACACCACCACACACAACCGCACUCACGCAGUCGCAUUAAAACUCGUUCUCGAAAUCGCAUUUGCACAACUAUUGCAGGAUGGAACCGGCCCAAGGCACAGGGGAUGGCAUCCUGGACAAGAGCUUCAUUGGGCAGAUAAACCAAGAAGCGAACUAUAAGCAGCCUCUACCUUGAUUGAAGGCUGUGCUGUGGAUGGCACCGACACUCGACACUGUUGGCUCUGGUUCGGGCUCUGAAUAUCGGGGGUCGCAUCAAUAAACAGAACAACAAAUCAACACGAAUUGUUGCAAGCACAGAACACCAAUCGACACAUUUUAUCGACUUUGUUUAUAGCAAAUGGUUAAGAUCAUUAAAAAUUUGAUUUAUUUAACCAUC